UAAUACGGAGGGGGCGAGCGUUGUCCGAAUUUAUUGGGCGUAAAGCGCGUGUAGGCGGAUUGUCAAGCCUUUGGUGAAAGGCUGGGGCUCAACCCCAGGAGUGCCGAAGGGACUGACAGUCUGGAGGCAGGCAGAGGAGAGUGGAAUUCCUGGUGUAGCGGUGGAAUGCGUAGAGAUCAGGAAGAACACCCAUGGCGAAGGCAGCUCUCUGGGCCUGUACUGACGCUGAGACGCGAAAGCGUGGGGAGCGAACGGGAUUAGAUACCCCGGUAGUCCACGCCGUAAACGAUGGAUGCUCGGUGUCGGGGGUAUCGACCCCCUCGGCGCCCAAGGUAACCCGGUAAGCAUCCCGCCUGGGGAGUACGGCCGCAAGGUUG
rnacentral:rRNA from 1 species